rnacentral:rRNA from 1 species
AACGAACGGCCUGGGUUUCCAAGCAUUGUGAUAAGGUAUCUUACUUUCGAAUACAUAGGGGUAAGAAGCGAACGCAGGGAACUGAAACAUCUAAGUACCUGCAGGAAAGGACAUCAACCGAGACUCCGCAAGUAGUGGCGAGCGAACGCGGACCAGGCCAGUGGCAAUGAUGAAUAAAGCGGAACGAUUUGGAAAAGUCGGCCAUAGAGGGUGAUAGCCCCUUACGCGUAGAACAGUCAUUGUCCUUGAGUAGGGCGGGACACGUGAAAUCCUGUCUGAACAUGGGGAGACCACUCUCCAAGCCUAAGUACUCGUGCAUGACCGAUAGCGAACAAGUACCGUGAGGGAAAGGUGAAAAGCACCCCGACGAGGGGAGUGAAAUAGAACCUGAAACCGGAUGCCUACAAACAGUCGGAGCCCGCAAGGGUGACGGCGUACCUUUUGUAUAAUGGGUCAACGACUUAGUGUAACUAGCAAGCUUAAGCCGGUAGGUGUAGGCGCAGCGAAAGCGAGUCUGAAUAGGGCGAUUGAGUUAGUUGCAUUAGACCCGAAACCGAGUGAUCUAGCCAUGAGCAGGCUGAAGGUUGGGUAACACCAACUGGAGGGCCGAACCCAUAACUGUUGCAAUAGUUCGGGAUGACUUGUGGCUAGGGGUGAAAGGCCAAUCAAACUCGGAAAUAGCUGGUUCUCCGCGAAAUCUAUUUAGGUAGAGCGUCGACCGAAUACCCUCGGGGGUAGAGCACUGGAUGGGCUAUGGGGACUCACCGUCUUACUGAUCCUAACCAAACUCCGAAUACCGAGGAGUACUAGUCGGCAGACACACGGCGGGUGCUAACGUCCGUCGUGAAAAGGGCAACAACCCUGACCUCCAGCUAAGGUCCCCAAGUCAUGGCUAAGUGGGAAAGGAUGUGAGGAUCCCAAAACAACCAGGAUGUUGGCUUAGAAGCAGCCAUCAUUUAAAGAAAGCGUAACAGCUCACUGGUCUAAAUAAGGGUCUUUGCGCCGAAAAUGUAACGGGGCUAAAGCCAUGCACCGAAGCUGAGGAUUUGCAGCAAUGCAAGUGGUAGCGGAGCGUUCCGUAAGUCUGUGAAGGCGGACCCGUGAGGGCUGCUGGAGAUAUCGGAAGUGCGAAUGUUGACAUGAGUAACGAUAAAGGGAGUGAGAGACUCCCUCGCCGAAAGACCAAGGGUUCCUGCUUAAAGUUAAUCUGAGCAGGGUUAGCCGGCCCCUAAGACGAGGCGGACACGCGUAGUCGAUGGGAACCACGUUAAUAUUCGUGGGCCUGGUGGUAGUGACGGAUCUCGUGUGUUGUUCAACCUUAUUGGAUUGGUUGGGCGGCGAAGAGGUUCCAGGAAAUAGCUCCACCGUAUAGACCGUACCCGAAACCGACACAGGUGGUCAGGUAGAGUAUACCAAGGCGCUUGAGAGAACUAUGUUGAAGGAACUCGGCAAAUUGCACGCGUAACUUCGGAAGAAGCGUGACCCUUUUGUACGCAAGUAUGAUGGGGUGGCACAGACCAGGGGGUAGCGACUGUUUAUCAAAAACACAGGGCUCUGCGAAGUAGCAAUACGACGUAUAGGGUCUGAC